rnacentral:rRNA from 1 species
AGCGAACGCUGGCGGCAGGCCUAACACAUGCCAGUCGAACGAACUCUUCGGAGUUAGUGGCGGACGGGUGAGUAACACGUGGGAACGUGCCUUUUGGUUCGGAAUAACUCAGGGAAACUUGUGCUAAUACCGAAUGUGCCCUUCGGGGGAAAGAUUUAUCGCCAUUAGAGCGGCCCGCGUCUGAUUAGCUAGUUGGGGAGGUAACGGCUCACCAAGGCGACGAUCAGUAGCUGGUCUGAGAGGAUGACCAGCCACACUGGGACUGAGACACGGCCCAGACUCCUACGGGAGGCAGCAGUGGGGAAUCUUGCGCAAUGGGCGAAAGCCUGACGCAGCCAUGCCGCGUGAAUGAUGAAGGUCUUAGGAUUGUAAAAUUCUUUCACCGGGGACGAUAAUGACGGUACCCGGAGAAGAAGCCCCGGCUAACUUCGUG